rnacentral:rRNA from 1 species
GACGAACGCUGGCGGCGUGCCUAAUACAUGCAAGUUGAGCGCUGAAGGUUGGUACUUGUACCAACUGGAUGAGCAGCGAACGGGUGAGUAACGCGUGGGUAAUCUGCCUUUGAGCGGGGGACAACAUCUGGAAACGAAUGCUAAUACCGCAUAAAAACUUUAAACACAAGUUUUAAGUUUGAAAGAUGCUAUUGCAUCACUCAAAGAUGAUCCCGCGUUGUAUUAGCUAGUUGGUGAGGUAAAGGCGCACCAGGGCGAUGAUACAUAGCCGACCUGAGAGGGUGAUCGGCCACAUUGGGACUGAGACACGGCCCAAGCUCCGACGGGAGGCAGCAGUAGGGGAGCGUCGGCAAGGGACGAGAGUCUGACCGUGCAACGCCGCGGGAGUGUGGAAGGUUGUCGGAUCGGAAAACUAUGUUUGUAGAGAAGAACGUGGGUGAGAGUUGAAAGCUCAUCAAGUGACGGUAACUAGCCAGAAAGGGACGGCUAACUACGUG